rnacentral:lncRNA from 1 species
GAAAUUCCCACGUUGGCCACGGUUCCCGGCUUUUACCAGGACGCGCCCUUAAGAAAAGGCGCGCUCUCUGGCGGUUCCCUGUUGUUGGGCCUCUGCGCGUUGGCCUGCGACGACCGCCGGGGCUCUUGCGUGCGCUGCCUCGCCCUUUUUUUGCACGCCCACUCUCGGCAUAAAUUGUUCAACAACAAAAAACGCAUUGGUCGCCCGUUGCCCUACAGAUUGUGUCGACGCACAAAUGUUUUCGUAUCGUCGGCCGCCCUCAGGACAGAAGAGAAAGAAGAGAAAGGCGCCGCUCGUCCGCAAAGCAGAGGAGAAGCGAGCACGGCCGACGGCACACCCAAGGCAAACUCUGCAGACGACUCUUUGCAAACGACCGCCCAUCGAGCCAAAAAA